AAACUUAAUAAUAAAUGCUGGUAUAUCUAGUGCAUUGUUGGCACCACGGGACCAGAAGGCAGUGACCCCCCUGGACCCAGCUUUCACUAUCUUGUGUGUGUCUGUUAUUUCUCAAUCUGCUGAUCUGCCUAACAACAGAGAGCCCCGUUGCAUUGCAGGCUGCUGGCCAGAUCCUGCAAUAUCUGGUGCCCAAUGUGGCCUUCUUUGUUCCUUGGCUCAGUGCACUCCAAGUGCCGUUUGUGAUGACUAGUCUUCAGUCUUGAAGGGACAUGAAUUGUCUUCAGCCCUGGUUGGGUCCAGAGAUGCCUUCUGAUAGACAGAACCUCGUGAAAGGAAGCAUGGGAAUCUACCUGGUGCUCUAUUCUACUGUGGCUGAGCUGGCACGCACACUGUGGAGGGAAGGAGUCUCUUCCAGAGCUGCAAACUGUGCUGCCUGUGUUUGGGGCAGCGAUGAUGCAAGCACUCUCUUGGCUGCACUAGCUGGUGUUUCACUAGGUCAUCUCCACCGAAUAUCCACUAACUUCAAGCCCAGCACAUCACCAGGACUUGUCCAGGAAUUGAAGUCUCUUUGGCCUAGACUGCUUUUUAAAUUUAUUUAAGACCCCCAAGAACUUUAGCCCAUACUGGUAGGUCUUGCCUGAACUCAGGCUCCUACCACUGAAAUGGAGAAUUUGCCUCUGGCUAGAGAAGCUCCCUCUGUAGGCACUGGCUGAGUUAUGCCCUGUGUUGCUUUCUGCUGUGACAGGGCAGUACUGAGUUCCAACGUCAAGUCGCACAAUUACUGUUUGCUGCCUCCCCUGAAUGCACAGAUUUUCUUUCCAUACCACUCAGCCAUUGCUGGGGGAUGAAGGAGGGCUGGUGUAGGUGAUUCAAGAUUGUCUUUCCCUCUUCAGUGCCUCUUUCCUUAAUAUAAUGUUAAAACCACACACUGCGAUUGCACUUCUGAUUUUUGGUUCUUCUGGAGGUGUUUUUUUUUGUUCGGAUAGUUCUUCAAUUUGGUGUUCCUAUAGGGAGGACAAUUGUUGGAGCCUUCUUUUCAUCCAUCUUGCCCCACUUUCCUCAGUUAUUAUAUAUUAUUGGCCUUCCUCAAAUAGUAAGGUGUAAAAUAGCAUAUUUUCAUACAUGGAAGUUAUUAUAUUGAAAAAUAGCAAACUUUAAUAAGAUAG
rnacentral:lncRNA from 10 species